rnacentral:sRNA from 1 species
UGGCGUUGGAUAUUUGAAGGGGAGGAUGAGAACGGCGUCAGGCGGUGGCGAUAGAUUUUUGAGAUUUCUUUUUCUCGUUUUAUGUCAUAUGUGAAACUACAAUCAUUGGGGAUAAUUAUAUAUACAUGGACAUGUUACUCAGUACAGCUUUUUUUUUUUUUUUUUUUUUUUUUUUUUUUUUAGAUUUUGUUACCUUUUCUAGGAAAAGCAGGAGCAAGAAACAAGAAACAAUAAAC